UCCGGCAAAAUGAGUGUAUUUUUUGAGUUAUUUGAGUGACGCUGUCGAAAUACAGUGUCUCUUCGACCAAUGAGUUACACCCUCGCGCGAGCCCUCCCCCUCCCCACCCGUAACGCACGGUGCGCUCUGCAGUUCUCAAUGUGUUUGUGUUCUUUCGAGCCAUGCUACCAACACAUCAAAAGCUUCUUGUUUUUCGCUUUCUUUCAUGCACUUAUUCUAAAACUAAACACAAACACUGUCAUUUUUUAUUACAUUAAACACUUUAUUGAAACAUAAAGUACACACUAAAGUACACAUGUAGAAUCCAAUGACGUCAUACCGGGUCGAGCCAGGCUGCGGGAAACUUGUCGACAAUCUGCGUUGCCUCUGUUCAUCAAAUUCUUACUUGUCGAUGCAUGCACUGCAUGUGCGUCUGUGCACACUGUUUAUUCACUGCACACUUCACCAAAACACACCGGCGCACGAGACUUAUAACGAAAUGCGCAUCAAUGCACAAACACUGCGCGCGGGACUUUGAACAAAACACGCACAACCAUCUCCGGCAAAGCGUCGCGCUGUACUGGUGGUGUUGUACGCGUAGGAGGGGGGGGACAUACGGAGCGAUGGUUCGAUGCUGUAGUGUAAGCGAGACAACACGAUGUGACGAGCAGAUCCAAGUUGGUGAGCUCGCUGAAAGAAGACACACACACAUUCACAGACGGCUCGUCAAAGCACGGUAUUUGUAUUGGUGUUAGUGAAGCGCGCGUGUAAAACAGAAUGCGAACUCUCAUCGCAGCGCGUUUCUCCGUGCUUCCUCAAGCUUCCUCAUACCCCUCGGCCUGAAUCACUCAAAAUUUGGGGUCUCAUUGUUUGCGUGGUUGGCAGAAGCGCAUACACACAUUCACGCAGUAGGCUUUACUUUCAGUCCAGUGAGGUUGGUGCUUGUGUGGUGUUUCAGCGCUUGGUAGUCAGCGGAUAAACCCCGUAAAAAAUAGAGUUUUGUUUAAUUUGAGGUAAGUAAAAGUGAUUAAAAUUAUCAACCAACAUCCCCCCUUCUAAUUAAUAUCAUUUUUCUUCCAUUUCAUGUGUGUUUCACGGCGAACGGAGACAACAAAACCUGUGGCAGUGUCGUGGUGUUGGAGAUGGUGGCCCGUACAGUGCAGCGAGAAGAACUAGGCGCGACAGCGAUGUGGAGCAGAAAGUGCUGUGUUGAUUUUAAUUUUUCUUUGUGCGAGUGUAAAAAGUGUUUUUUUAUUAUGUGCAUUAAUUUAGAAUUAAGUGCAGUGAUAAUAAUGGAUGCACAAUAGUGCAUGUGUUGUGUGUGUUUUUUUUUGUAUUCUAUGUUGGUUCGAUAUCCAAUAAAUCGAAUCAUGUUGAUAUAAUGGUCCGCACUGUAUCAUUUUGGAAAGAAAUCCUGGCAAAAAAGGGGGAGGGGACUAAUUAAACGAAGGUUCGUGCAGACCCCCGUUCGGGUUUUGCUUCGGCUUCGGGUUUGCUUCGGCUUCGGGACCCGACGGAUCGGUUGAAUAACCCAAGUAGCAGAGCCGAAGUUUUUCAAAGAUUUUUCUGUGUGCCAAAGCGAGAUGCCCUGUCUUCUCUCUCCAGAUUUUGGACAGCAAACCGCCGCGCGUAUAGAGGUGUGUGCGUGUGACGAAAAACGAUGGAUGAAAAACGCGAGGAGCGGGAUCCGAAGUCUUUCGUUGGUCACACACACAUGCAUCUACCGUUGGAUUGCGCUACACCGAGUCUACCCAUCUCUCUCGAUCUACCAUGAUUUUUUUCUGCUAUCGCACUCAUCCGGGAGUUAGGCAUCCUCAGUCUGCCCAGAACUUUCGUUGUGGAAGGAUGUGCGGGAGUGAUGUGCGAUUUCUUGUGUCCCCUACUUUCCUUGUUUACGUUUUGCGCAGUGUUGCUUCUUCUUCCAUUGCGGAAUGAUUUAUCCUAGCUAACUUGCUGAGUUACAGGUGCAUGCGCCAUUCAUCAACGCCUACCUGUUGGCAUCAUCAACAAUCUUCAAAGUGGGUGACGGAAAGAAAUUGUUUUCCAGUUUUAAAAUAUUAAGCGUUCAGCACAACUCAGCCACAAAACUACGCACUGGAUUGCGCUAAGAACCUGUCGAAACGCGCGCAGCCCCCGGGAGCGGUAGGAGAAAGGAAGAACGAGAGGAGGAAAAACUAAAGCCAGCGCGCAGCUCUGAUGGUACCCCGUACGCGGUAAGAAGAAAAAAGAUCGAGAGGAGGAAGAACGGUAAAUUUGGAAGGGGGAGACCGUUCUGCCGUCUCCACAGUGCGAGUAUGCCAAAGCACGUGUUGGAAGGGAGAGAAAAAGUGUGGAAUAAACUACAUGCGAAUGUGUGCAUACAGCAAAAGUAAA